UACAGAGGGGGCAAGCGUUGUUCGGAAUUACUGGGCGUAAAGGGCGCGUAGGCGGCCUUCUAAGUCGAACGUGAAAUCCCCGGACUCAACCCGGGAACUGCGUCCGAUACUGGAAGGCUUGAAUCCGGGAGAGGGAUGCGGAAUUCCAGGUGUAGCGGUGAAAUGCGUAGAUAUCUGGAGGAAUACCGGUGGCGAAGGCGGCAUCCUGGACCGACAUUGACGCUGAACGGCGAAAGCUAGGGGAGCAAACGGG
rnacentral:rRNA from 1 species